GAUGAACGCUGGCGGCAUGCCUAACACAUGCAAGUCGAGCGGCAGCACGGUAAGCGUGUUUCUCUACUGUUGGCGGGGGGCGGACGAGUAGCGCAUGCAUCACCUACCUCUAUGACUGGGAUAACAACGGGAAACCACUGCCACUACUGGCUAAUAUUUCCAACGGCUUGGAUCAAAAGUUCAUGAGGGUCUUGCUGUUUCUUAGAGCUGGUGCCGCGUUGGAUUAGAUAGUUGGUAAGGUAAAGGCUAACCAAGGCAACGAUGCGUAGCCGACCUGAGAGGAGGAUCAGCCACACUGGAACUGAGACACGGUCCAGACUCCUACGGGAGGCAGCAGUGGGGAAUCUUCCACAAUGGGCGAAAGCCUGACCGAGCAACGCCGCGUGGGUGAAGAAGGUCUUCGGGUCGUAAAACUCUGUUAUUAGGGAAGAAAAGAAGUAGAAGUAUCUGUGGACGUCCUGACGGUACCUAAUGAAUAAGCAACGGCUAACUACGUG
rnacentral:rRNA from 1 species